ACAAUCCGGAUCACCGUCGAAGUCCAUGACAAGCUCCUUUUCUUCCCCCUCUGUUUUGGAUUUUUGGGUUUGAUUUGUUAGCUUUCCCAGAUUUGGGUUUGAGAAAUUGAACACAAAAGUAACAGAGAUUGAUGAAGAAAUGGAGAUGGGCAGUUACAAAAACAU